rnacentral:rRNA from 1 species
AUGGCGGAACGGGCCAAUCUGCUCUUUCAUAAUAAAGAGAUAGACGGAACUGGUAUGAAACGACUUAUUAGCAGAUUAAUAGAUCAUUUUGGAAUGGGAUAUACAUCCCAUAUACUGGAUCAACUAAAGACUCUGGGCUUCCAUCAAGCCAAUCCUACAUCGAUUUCGUUAGGAAUCGAGGAUCUUUUAACAAUACCCUCUAAGGGAUUGUUAGACCAAGAUGCGGAACAACAGAGUUUUCUUUUGGAGAAACACUAUUAUUAUGGGGCUGUACACGCGGUAGAAAAAUUACGCCAAUCUAUUGAGAUAUGGUAUGCGACAAGUAUGAGAGGAUUAAUGUCGGACCCUCAAGGACAAAUUAUUGAUUUACCUAUUCAAAGCAAUUUACGCGAGGGACUUUCUUUGACAGAAUAUAUAAUUUCCUGCUAUAGAGCCCGAAAGGGGUUGUAG